CGUUGCACUAUCGUUAACUGAAUACAUAGGUUAACGAGGCGAACCGGGGGAACUGAAACAUCUAAGUACCCCGAGGAAAAGAAAUCAACCGAGAUUCCCCCAGUAGCGGCGAGCGAACGGGGAGCAGCCCGGAGUCUGAAUCAGCUUGUGUGUUAGUGGAACGGUCUGGAAAGUCCGACGGUACAGGGUGAUAGUCCCGUACACGAAAAUGCACAUGCUGUGAACUCGAAGAGUAGGGCGGGACACGUGGUAUCCUGUCUGAAUAUGGGGGGACCAUCCUCCAAGGCUAAAUACUCCUGACUGACCGAUAGUGAACCAGUACCGUGAGGGAAAGGCGAAAAGAACCCCGGCGAGGGGAGUGAAAAAGAACCUGAAACCGUGUACGUACAAGCAGUGGGAGCCUCUUUAUGGGGUGACUGCGUACCUUUUGUAUAAUGGGUCAGCGACUUAUAUUCUGUAGCAAGGUUAACCGUAUAGGGGAGCCGAAGGGAAACCGAGUCUUAACUGGGCGUUAAGUUGCAGGGUAUAGACCCGAAACCCGGUGAUCUAGCCAUGGGCAGGUUGAAGGUUGGGUAACACUAACUGGAGGACCGAACCGACUAAUGUUGAAAAAUUAGCGGAUGACCUGUGGCUGGGGGUGAAAGGCCAAUCAAACCGGGAGAUAGCUGGUUCUCCCCGAAAGCUAUUUAGGUAGCGCCUCGUGAACUCAUCUUCGGGGGUAGAGCACUGUUUCGGCUAGGGGGCCAUCCCGGCUUACCAACCCGAUGCAAACUACGAAUACCGAAGAAUGUUAUCACGGGAGACACACGGCGGGUGCUAACGUCCGUCGUGAAGAGGGAAACAACCCAGACCGCCAGCUAAGGUCCCAAAGUCAUGGUUAAGUGGGAAACGAUGUGGGAAGGCACAGACAGCCAGGAUGUUGGCUUAGAAGCAGCCAUCAUUUAAAGAAAGCGUAAUAGCUCACUGGUCGAGUCGGCCUGCGCGGAAGAUGUAACGGGGCUAAACCAUGCACCGAAGCUGCGGCAGCGACACUAUGUGUUGUUGGGUAGGGGAGCGUUCUGUAAGCCGUUGAAGGUGUGCUGUGAGGCAUGCUGGAGGUAUCAGAAGUGCGAAUGCUGACAUAAGUAACGAUAAAGCGGGUGAAAAGCCCGCUCGCCGGAAGACCAAGGGUUCCUGUCCAACGUUAAUCGGGGCAGGGUGAGUCGACCCCUAAGGCGAGGCCGAAAGGCGUAGUCGAUGGGAAACAGGUUAAUAUUCCUGUACUUGGUGUUACUGCGAAGGGGGGACGGAGAAGGCUAUGUCAGCCGGGCGACGGUUGUCCCGGUUUAAGCAUGUAGGCGGAGGUUCCAGGUAAAUCCGGUACCUURUUAACGCUGAGGUGUGAUGACGAGGCACUACGGUGCUGAAGUGAUAAAUGCCCUGCUUCCAGGAAAAGCCUCUAAGCAUCAGGUAACACGAAAUCGUACCCCAAACCGACACAGGUGGUCAGGUAGAGAAUACCAAGGCGCUUGAGAGAACUCGGGUGAAGGAACUAGGCAAAAUGGUGCCGUAACUUCGGGAGAAGGCACGCUGAUGUGUAGGUGAAGCCCCUGCGGGYGGAGCUGAAAUCAGUCGAAGAUACCAGCUGGCUGCAACUGUUUAUUAAAAACACAGCACUGUGCAAACACGAAAGUGGACGUAUACGGUGUGACGCCUGCCCGGUGCCGGAAGGUUAAUUGAUGGGGUUAGCGGCAACGCGAAGCUCUUGAUCGAAGCCCCGGUAAACGGCGGCCGUAACUAUAACGGUCCUAAGGUAGCGAAAUUCCUUGUCGGGUAAGUUCCGACCUGCACGAAUGGCGUAAUGAUGGCCAGGCUGUCUCCACCCGAGACUCAGUGAAAUUGAACUCGCUGUGAAGAUGCAGUGUACCCGCGGCAAGACGGAAAGACCCCGUGAACCUUUACUAUAGCUUGACACUGAACACUGGUCCUUGAUGUGUAGGAUAGGUGGGAGGCUUUGAAGCGUGGACGCCAGUCUGCGUGGAGCCAACCUUGAAAUACCACCCUUUAAUGGCUGGUGUUCUAACGUAGACCCGUAAUCCGGGUUGCGGACAGUGUCUGGUGGGUAGUUUGACUGGGGCGGUCUCCUCCCAAAGAGUAACGGAGGAGCACGAAGGUUGGCUAAUCCUGGUCGGACAUCAGGAGGUUAGUGCAAUGGCAUAAGCCAGCUUGACUGCGAGCGUGACGGCGCGAGCAGGUGCGAAAGCAGGUCAUAGUGAUCCGGUGGUUCUGAAUGGAAGGGCCAUCGCUCAACGGAUAAAAGGUACUCCGGGGAUAACAGGCUGAUACCGCCCAAGAGUUCAUAUCGACGGCGGUGUUUGGCACCUCGAUGUCGGCUCAUCACAUCCUGGGGCUGAAGUAGGUCCCAAGGGUAUGGCUGUUCGCCAUUUAAAGUGGUACGCGAGCUGGGUUUAGAACGUCGUGAGACAGUUCGGUCCCUAUCUGCCGUGGGCGCUGGAGAAUUGAGGGGGGCUGCUCCUAGUACGAGAGGACCGGAGUGGACGCAUCACUGGUGUUCGGGUUGUCAUGCCAAUGGCACUGCCCGGUAGCUAAAUGCGGAAGAGAUAAGUGCUGAAAGCAUCUAAGCACGAAACUUGCCCCGAGAUGAGUUCUCCCUGAGACUUUAAGUCUCCUGAAGGAACGUU
rnacentral:rRNA from 1 species